rnacentral:rRNA from 1 species
GUGGGGAAUAUUGGACAAUGGGGGGAACCCUGAUCCAGCCAUGCCGCGUGUGUGAAGAAGGCCUUUUGGUUGUAAAGCACUUUAAGCGAGGAGAAGGCUACCGAGAUUAAUACUCUUGGAUAGUGGACGUUACUCGCAGAAUAAGCACCGGCUAACUCUGUGCCAGCAGCCGCGGUAAUACAGAGGGUGCAAGCGUUAAUCGGAUUUACUGGGCGUAAAGCGCGCGUAGGUGGCCAAUUAAGUCAAAUGUGAAAUCCCCGAGCUUAACUUGGGAAUUGCAUUCGAUACUGGUUGGCUAGAGUAUGGGAGAGGAUGGUAGAAUUCCAGGUGUAGCGGUGAAAUGCGUAGAGAUCUGGAGGAAUACCGAUGGCGAAGGCAGCCAUCUGGCCUAAUACUGACACUGAGGUGCGAAAGCAUGGGGAGCAAACAGGAUUAGAUACCCUUGUAGUCC